CUACCAUAGAAUAUCUAAAGUUUGAUUUUUCAGGAAUUUGAAGAUUGAAGUCCAUGUGGCUCUGGUGUGUGUAAAAUUGCACACCUGUUUUAUGCAUCUAAUGAUUACAGUUGUGCAUACAGAUGAAGCUAAAUGAAUACCUAUUUGCAAGUGUAAAAUGCCUGAUUUGCAUAAGGAGUUCUGCAAUUGCAUACAAAAGCUGGUGCAUCUCAGGUCUUAAAUUCUGAAAAUCUGUCUUUGAAUGAUUAUGUGUGGGCAGACCCCUGGCUUAACAUCUCAUCCAAAUCCAGUAAGUUAUAUAUCUUUCCUUCUGGUAUUAUUCAGAUUUCAAGUCACCGCUUGGAAAGCCACCUUUAGUAUAUCUGUGGCUUAUUGCAAAGUUAACCCCUGGAUGACCUUUUAUAUAUAUAUGUGUGUGUGUGUGUUGUUCCUAUUUUUGGCGCUCGGAUAGAGGACGUCUCAAUUUAACAAUCUUAUCACCUGAUGUCUGGGCUGUUCAUAUGAACUUGCCCCCCAAUUAUACAAGAAAAAAUGGGUCAUCUCCUCAUUGGGUGUAAGUGAACAUGAUUCCAUCAAAAUCACUGGUGCUUUGCUGAUUUACCCACAGCUGAGGAUCUGGCCUAGUACAGUGAUCUACAACUGUUAGGUACACAGGUGCUACAGGGAGCAGAUAAUAUGUUGCAUCAGGGUACAGAACUCAUGCACAUCAGCCCUAAGAAGACAAGGAAACUGUCCUGUGAGAAGGAUGACAGACGUCUCAGGGCACCUGUACACCGCUAAUAUUCAAGUGGCCGAAUAAAGCCAGCAUGACUGGGGGAAUUGUAGAGAUGUGAAAUGGGAGCGAGGGGUCCCUUCGGAGAGCAGGGUGUCUGGCUGUGUAGCCUUCAGCUCCCUCCCACUGGCUCCUGCACAUUCCCAGUUGGGAAGGGUGGGGUGAGUCAAGUGGUGAAAAGAUUUUAGAUUGUAAAGAACAAAUAGCGCGCACGCGUGUGUGUGUGUGACAUAAAGUGUAAGAUGCCUCGUGUGUUUAUAAAUCUACACAAAUAAAAAUAAAUACAAACCCUGUGUAAACUUA